ACAGCUGCACAGAGGCCAGCAUGGCCGUCCCCCAAGUGCCCACAGCAGACAGAGAGUGAGGAAGGCGGGUGGGUCUGAGCUGGAAGGAGGCUGCCUGUGAAGGGCAUGCCUGCCUGGCUGCAUUAAUGAGAAUAUAGCAUCCGGGAUGGUGGAGGGGACACAGCUGGGGGAGCAUCACCAUGAGCAGCACUCCCGGUGGGAGGGGCUUGCGGGGCAGAGCCGCUCAGGAGAGGCCGGCUCUGGGGUUUGGAAGCUGCAAGAAGGGCAGCGGGGAGCAGCCAGUGGCCGGCUCUGGUGCAGACACAGGUGGGAUGGGGCUGGAGCCCGGGGCGAGGUGCAGAGAGGGGGUCAGCGCCCACAGAGGAGGACGUUGCUGGUGACCCAGGGGCAUCCCAGGACUCGCUGAGGGGAUGAGCCUGCGAUGCAUGGUGAGACUGCAGCUCCUCCGGGGACCUGGCGUGCCCGUGCCCUCUGCAGACGGCGGCACGGCCUUGGUCCUCUCUGCCCGCAGCUGAGCAUCUCUCGAGUCCACCCGUGGGCGCCGUUCCAGGCGGCGCUGGGCCCGGAAGCUCCGAAGACUCGCUCAGGCUGCAGGCUGGCGUCCUGGGUUCUGCCUCAGCGUCCAGGGCCGCGCGGGUGUUUCUGCGUUUGCCUGUGACCGCGUGUCCUCAGGAGGGCUGCGAGAGGCCCCUCUGCAGGUGUGGGGUCCUUCCCAGAGUCCACUCUGGAGCUGACCCCCUUGUCUGGGCCGACCGUCACCUGGGCUUCCUUCUCCCACGCUGGCUUCUCAUUCGUGAGCAUCUGUAAUAAGACGAUCCGUUUUCAUGUUUUAGUUCUGUUUCCCAGCCAUGUGCUCGGUGAUCUUCGUGGCAGUUCUUCCCGUCUGAUUCUCGUGGGUUUCCCGGGAGCCUGGGGGUAAUUCAGCUCCUUCUUCCUGUUUUAACCCUCUGAUCUGCCCCCCACCCCCA
rnacentral:lncRNA from 1 species